GCCCGCUCAGAAACUACAAAGGAAGUUGACGGGGGCCCGCACAAGCGGUGGAGCAUGUGGUUUAAUUCGAUGAUACGCGAGGAACCUUACCUGGGCUCAAAUGUAUGUUGACGUAUUCUGAAAGGGAUACUUCUUCGGACAAUAUACAAGGUGCUGCAUGGUUGUCGUCAGCUCGUGCCGUGAGGUGUCGGGUUAAGUCCCAUAACGAGCGCAACCCCUAUCAUUAGUUGCCAUCAGGUCAAGCUGGGGACUCUAAUGAAACUGCCUACGCAAGUAGUGAGGAAGUGGGGAUGACGUCAAAUCAGCACGGCCCUUACGUCCAGGGCUACACACGUGCUACAAUGGCCGGUACAAAGGGCAGCUACCUGGUGACAGGAUGCUAAUCUCAAAAGCCGGUCUCAGUUCGGAUCGGAGUCUGCAACCCGACUCCGUGAGGCUGGAAUCGCUAGUAAUCGCGCAUCAGCCAUGGCGCGGUGAAUACGUUCCCGGGCCUU
rnacentral:rRNA from 1 species